CUUCACUAAACUCUGGUCCUCUUUCACCACCACCAUAAUUGAAUGCCGUCAUUUAAGCCUCUCCACCAAGAGACGCCGCUCCACGUCAUCUUCCCCCAACCCCCCUAACCACUCCAGUCCCAUAAAAUCCAGCAAACAUUACAUAGUCUCUUUGCUUUGCUUCCGCCACGAACCAAGGAGCCACCAUCGCUUGCCUCUGCCGGGAUUGCAGAUGUUGAAGGAGUCCCGAGGUUCCCUCCUCCUCAACUACCUCGCCUGAAACAACCCCUCUUCAUCUUGCCGAAACCCUAAUCGGAUUCGUCAACCAACACAUCUGCAGGUUUCUCUUUCCCUCUCUGUUGGUUUUGUUUAUGAUUUCUUGUAAUACCACCACAUCUUUUGGUUAUAUUUUUUGGAUUCUGAUGAUUUUAGUUUUAUGGAUUUAUGUGAUCAGUUUGGGUUGGGUGUUCCAUAAUGGGGUUGGUCAUUUGGAGCAGCAAGAGCUAACCCUAAUUUCACCCCGAAUUUUGCAUUUGUGUGUAAGGCUUUUAUAAACAGACUUAAAGCUUAUGAAGGUGAUUCCAAUAAUAUCAGCCAUCAGGUAAAUGGUUUUUUUUCCAAUCUUUGAGUUGUUGUUAAUGGUGUUUGAUAGCAUAAAAGUUUCAUUAUAUUACUGGAUAAUGCAUACGAUUUUCAUUAAAGCUAGGAUUGAAUGGGUGUGCCUUCUGUCUUCUUUUUACCAGGUUCAGCUUCUUUAAUCUCUAGAAAAUAGAAAAGAUAUUAGUACCAAAUUGUGGAAUCUAGGAAUUAUUUGCAUUUUGCAGUAAGUUUGGUGGCAUGGCUUCUUCAUCGGACAGAGAGGCUACAGAUGGGGUGUGAAGGAGAUCGUUUGCGGCUACGCACUACCGCUAACAAAAAACGGAAGAAAGCGGUAGAUCUAGGGUUCGUUCGACGGUUUCAUGAUGGUGUUGCUGUGCUGUGUUGUGCUGGUGAUAAGGGUACUUAGGGAAAACUACUUGACACUGAUGGUGAACUCAUAUUGACUGCAAUGACCCCAAUUACGAUAGUGGCAAGAAAGGUGGCAUCCAUCGUUGAUGAUUACUUUACCAAUGAUGAUGUGGAUUUAGCAGCAUCUAAACUCAAGGAACUCGGGCCAUCUGAAUACAACCCUUAUUUGAUUAAGAGGCUUGUAUCAAUGACCAUGGAUAGGCAUGACAUGGAGAAAGAAAAGCUCUUUAUUCGGAUGUCAUCAGUUCUGCACAAAUCAAGCAAGAAUAUUGGUGCCAGCAACAGCGAUGAUGCCUUUUACAGGUACAAGAUGCCGAAAAUGAUUACCAAAAUUGAGGGGCGUGGAAAUGGCAUCAAAACAAAUAUCGUCAACAUGGUGGAUGUUGCCAAAUCUUUGGCUAGACCAGCUUCGUAUACUACGAAAUACUUCGGAUGUGAGCUUGGAGCACAAUCAAAAUUCGAUGAAAAAACGGGGGUGUCGCUUGUGAACGGUUCUCAUGACACAGCAAAACUAGCUGGUCUUCUUGAGAAUUUUAUCAAAAAGUAUGUUCCGUGUUACUGUUGUGGGAACCCGAAGAGGGAGAUACUGAUUACGAAGACGCAGAUGGUUCAGUUAAAAUGUGUUGCGUGUGGUUUUGUGUCUGAUGUGGACAUGAGAGACAAGCUGACGUCGUUUAUCUUGAAGAAUCCACCUGAGCAGAAGAAGAAUUCGAAAGACAAGAAGGUGAUGACGCGGGCUGAGGAGGAGCGGUUAAAGGAAGGUGAAGCGGCGGAUAAGAUAAAAAAGAAGCUGAUAAAAGACGUGAAGAAGACGAAAGAUAAAACAUCGACCAAAAAGAAAGGUAAUGCUUCUGAUGAGGAUCACACUUCGCCAACUCUAAGCCACACUGGAGACAAGGAUGACGGUUCUGGCGAAGAAGAUGACGAUUGUUUCGCCCGCCACCGACGCUGCUGCUCCGCCACCGGUCUCACCAGUUAUUAGGGGUAGGAUUGUACUUCAAGUUCUUACUGGAAUCACAACUUCUUGGAAUCAUUGUUUGUAGCAGUUCUUGCUGCUACAACUCGCCUGGGAAGAUAUGAUCUACGUUGAACUCCAAGUGAAAAUACCAACCUCCCUCCUGCACUUUCAUGAACAUUUGAUCUUUUUUGGUUGAUCAUUGUCUACGCUGACAUGGAUGAUGAUAUUAAAAUGGCUAGACAUGCUCUUUAUGUUCACCAAAAAAAGAGAAUCCCUUGCCCUUGGGUUUGCCAUCUUAAAGCUUCUGAACUUAGGUAUUUAUCAUUUUGUCAUUUUUUUUUGUAAAUUUACCAUGUAGUCAUGUGGCCAUAUUGAUUAUUGGUUACGCCAUUUAACAAACUUCUCCUAUAUAAGAAGCCAUUUAAUUUUUAUA